rnacentral:rRNA from 1 species
GACGAACGCUGGCGGCGUGCUUAAUACAUGCAAGUCGAGCGGAAGGGCGAGGCGCUUGCGUCUUUGAUGUUAGCGGCAGACGUGAGUGUAACACGUGUAUAACCUACCUAUAUUAGUGGUAAAAUUUGGGGAAACCGGAGAAUAUAGCGGAUAAGAUCUUGAACCGCGGGGGUCGAUAGUGAAAGACGGUCGUGGUGUCUCGUCUAGAGGGAUACGAGCUGCUUUAGGUAGUUGGGAAGGUAACGGCUUUCCAAGGGAACGAGGCGUAGCCGACGUGAGAGGGUGAUAGGCCGCACUGGAACUGAACCAGGGUCCAUGCUCCUACGGGAGGCAGCAGAAGGCAAUCUUCCGCAAUGGGCGGAAGCCUGGCGGAGCGGCGCCGCGUGUGUGAUGGAGAUCUUCGGAUCGUAAAACUCUGCUACUGGGGAAGAACCUAUUUGGACGUUAAUGUGGCGAUCGUGACGGUAACUAAUAAGAAAGCACCGGCUAACUACGUG